GGAACAAAUAGAACGGAAUGAAACGCUUACUUCUUCUCUUUCUUUUUCUUCUUCUUUUCUUUUUUGCUUUUCAGUUUCUUUGCCUU
rnacentral:ribozyme from 17 species